rnacentral:rRNA from 1 species
AGUGAACGCUGGCGGUAGGCCUAACACAUGCAAGUCGAACGGCAGCACAGUAAGAGCUUGCUCUUACGGGUGGCGAGUGGCGGACGGGUGAGGCAUACAUCGGAAUCUACUUUUUCGUGGGGGAUAACGUAGGGAAACUUACGCUAAUACCGCAUACGACCUACGGGUUAAAGCAGUGGAUCUUCGGACCUUUCGCGAUUGUAUUAGCCGAUGUCGGAUUAGCUAGUUGGCGGGGUAAAGGCCCACCUAGGCGACGCUCCGUAGCUGGUCUGAGAGGAUGAACAGGCACACUGGAACUGAGAAAAGGGCCAGACUCCUAAGGGAGGCAGCAGUGGGGAAUAUUGGACAAUGGGCGCAAGCCUGAUCCAGCCAUACCGCGUGGGUGAAGAAGGCCUUCGGGUUGUAAAGACCUUUUGUUGGGAAAGAAAAGAAGCAGGUUAAAACCACGCUGGUCUGACGGUACCCAAAGAAGAAGCACAGGCUAACUUAGUG